rnacentral:rRNA from 1 species
ACGGAGGGUGCAAGCGUUAAUCGGAAUUACUGGGCGUAAAGCGCACGUAGGCUGUAGUGUAAGUCAGGGGUGAAAUCCCACGGCUCAACCGUGGAACUGCCUUUGAUACUGCACAACUUGAAUCCGGGAGAGGGUGGCGGAAUUCCAGGUGACGACGCGAAGACGGUCGAUAAGAGGAUGAAGAUCAGUGGCGAAGGCGGCAUCCUGGACCGGUAGUGAAACUUUGGUGCGACCGAGUUUGGAGCGGACAG